AGCUUCCACUCCUCCCUGCUGAGCAACUACUAAAAAUAACAUUUUGUUAGAUGACCUGAAUGGAUGGAAGAUAAAAUUACAGAAAAAGUGAGUGUGUCAGGUGGAGAUCCAAGAAUGAAUACAAAUGGCAACUGCUUGGGGAGAAUCUGCUUGGAAAAGACCUGUGAAAAUUGUAAAUGCAAGGACUAGUUGAGAAGUUUCUUCUUCAUCACUGUUGUAAUUGUGAAUGAUCACUACAUGAGGUGGUCAUUAAACAAAGAUUACUUUUACAGAGUGCCAUAUGUGUGUGCAGUUAGCUUAUAGAAAGUAUGGAAAAGGAUGUUUACUGAAAGGAGUGAAAUGAAAGAGUUUGUGGAGAAGAAACUUAAGAUUAAUCAAGAAAACAUGAAUAUAAUAAGCCAUAGGUUAAGUUAUAUGAACUGUAUGAUCAGAAAUCCUGCUUAUUCUUUGUUUCACUGGAAAUGGUUGUUAAAUUUCUUAAUUCAUUUUACUUGAACUUUUCUGCAAUAAGACUAAUCUUUGUAAUUAUUUUUCUCUUGAUUAACAACUAUGAGUUAGUGACAGGAUGUGCUAUGGUAUUGAAAUUCCCACUAUUUUUUAUACUUCUUGUUGGUUGUUCCUAAUAUUUCAUCAUUUAUAAUUUGCUGGACUUUUGGGUGCUGAAACACUUUAAAAAAUAAGAAUUAAAUUUGGAAGAGGAUAGUCAGACCUGAUAAUUAGACAGAGGAAAAUAUCUGAGAGGAGAAAUAGAAGUUUGAGGUGUACCCAUCUAAACAACUCUUUCUUUCUGGCCAUCACAAUUAUUGUAUGAAAAUGUUUUGAUGUUAUUUUUAUUUCUACCAUAUGGAUCGACAACUGUGUUCUGUUUCUGAAUGGCUUUUCUGUGGGUCCUUGAGAUCUGUCUCCAACCAGUUUUCCAAAACCAAUGCUAUAGUUUACCAGUGCCUCUACCCCUUAAUGAUUAGUAUUAUGUAUUAAACCAAAUGCAUAAGGUCUGUUAUAAAAACAGUUAACUGAUUGUCCAGUUUGAAUCCUUGACUGAUUGUCUGUAUAUACUUUAAGCCUUUGUUUUAGGUGGGAAGGAAUACUUUAAAAUCAUUGGCCACUGUUUAGCGGCAGUCUGUAUAAAUAUGAGUCAAGCUAGAGCUGCUUCUGUGAGAACUAAUAAAAGAGCUGUUAUUUCAAACUGGUGUCUUCAGUGCCUCACUGUUCCCACUACACAACAGUGGCGAUGAAGGUGGGAUUAUGCUGCUAGGAAGAAAAGAGCUAAGUCACUAAGGGGUAAGACUAGGCAUCAGUGCCCUGGUUAGAACCGCGUUCCCCCCUUCUGCCUACCAUAUGCAAAUGCUGGAGGUAUCACCUUUCUAAGGGACCUGUCCCUGGGAAUUUCACAGAAGCCCUAGCAGCAUAAGGCAUUGGAGACACAGUAACAGCCAGCCAUGGCCAAAGUUGGCAAGCUUUCCGAGUUUGACAUGACGCAUCCCGAACGAUGGAGUUCAUACAUCUCAAGGGUAGAAAACUACCUUAGACCGAACCAGGUCAGGGAAGAUAAUUUAAAAGCUGCAACCUUAUUGUGCGUGUAUGGCCAAGCCACCUUUGAGAUAGUGGAGAACCUAGUCGCUCCUGCUGCCUUGGAGUCAGUUACCUUCACUGACUUGAAACGAAGACUCAAGGAGCACUUUGAACCAAGACUGUCCAUCAUUGCAUGGAGACACGCAUUCGAGCAGAGAGAACAGCAGCCGGGGGAGUCUACUGCUGAAUUCGUGGCUGCCCUGCGACAGGUGUCCAGGGUCUGCAAAUUUCCGGAUUUAGAGGAUCGGCUCAGGGAUCGACUGGUAUGUGGCCUGAGAAGCAGAGACUUACAGCAGAGGCUGUUUGCUAAAGAGACCCUGACAUUCCAGGACGCACUGAAAGAAGUGAUGGCAGAAGAGGCCACAGGUGGAGCCGUCAAGACUUUACGUCCCUCAAAGAAUUUCCCCAGCCAGAUGGCUGUGCAUCACAAAGAGUCAGAGAGAACAGAAGACCCAGAUGUAGACAUUGAGAUGGACUGGGUGAAGAAGAUCCCAGAAAGAAGGCAGCGGCUGCUUGACAAGGCAGCUUUCUUCCCUAGCUGUCCUGGCUGCGGAGGACAACACCAGUGCUCAGAAUGCCGGUUUUGUGCAGCUGUGUGCUGAGCAUGUGGCAAACAAGGCCACAUCGCUAUUGUCUAUAAAGGUUGCCAGAGGGAAUCUCCACGUGAAGACUUGGAGAGGUAAUGGGCCCCGGGGCAGAAUAAAGUAGGAUAUUGCUCUGGAAGGAGGAGCAUUUUCAGAACUGGAGCCCAUCGCCCCCUGAAAGAAAAGCUUAGAUUAAAAGUCAAGCUACAAGGAGUUCCAUGCUCCAUGGAACUGGACACUGGGUCAGCCAU